AACUAUCGAAACAAAGUUAGUAUUAUUUUAUGAGUUUUCUUGAACAAUAUUCUUAUAAUUAUGCCUUCUUUGAACUAAUUUUUUAUUAUUGUUUGUUUUGGAGGUUUAAAGAAAGGGAAAGGAAAAGGAAAAUAACAAUCUGAUUCUUUUAUGUGCUGUUUGAUAAACCAUUCUAAUUAUUUCCUUCACCUCUUAAUUACCUUCAAACUCUUCUAUAUUGAUUCUCCACCCUUCCUCGAGGUUUUCACCUUCUCCCCAAACUCCUUUACACAUUGACCAUUACGAUUCAUCAUACUAUGACUUGACUCCACCACUUAACUCCCACCAACACCACCUGAUUCCACCAUCUCACCCCCACCAAGGCCUACCCACGACCACCAAGCCACUGUAAGCACCACCUAAAGUUACCAAGCUGCCACAAAUCCGCAACCAAUACUGAAGCUAACAGCAACAACCCCACACAUCAACGAAACCCACACACAAGCACCACAAAUCACCCAUGAACUCCACUAUCACCCACUCGAAAAAAGCGUACAACCCUAAAAAUUUGAAUUGUUUUAAUCAAGAGUGGCGAGAAUAUGAGAAGAUAUGGAAAGAAAAGGAAGGCAUUAUCGAGGAGGGGAGGGCGGCGACAAUUGCACUGAGGAGGGGAGUCGGCGACAGUGUUGAUAUCGGAAGGAGCGUGCAUUUUUGGGUACUGGUUUGAUUCGAAAAGUCGAUAUCCAAAAUUUCAGAUUCGGAAAAAAGACCUGAUUCUAAUCCGAAAAUCAUGAUAUUUGAUCGGAAAAUUCGAUCUUUUUUUUUGUUAAAAGUUCUAAAGCAAGUUGAAACUUAAUUAAUCUUUCUUCCUAUUUUAUCCGACUUGAAAAUCCGAACCUGAUGCGAUAAGUUAUUUAACUUAAACUUAUUUCGGUAGAAUAAAAGAAAUGCAAAUUUCGAAUUUUCGGAUUAUCUGAAAUCUGAAAAUACGAUUCGUAUAUGAUCCGAACAUUCGAACUUUUUUCGGAUACCCGGUCUGAAUUACCCAAAAUUUCAGACGGAUCGAUGGAUAAACGAAUUGGAUAGUUUGGAACAAAUUUUUUUCCACACUUCUAGAUAUCGGGGAGGGCAUGGCGACAUUUAAGUAAAAGAGAAGGAGAUUAUGGUGGUGCAAUGGUAAUAGGAGGAAUAGAGGUGGAACGACCAUUUCUUGAUUUCAUUCUCGUUACCCCAUAGAUAUUAAACGUGCCCUAAAUGGUUUUUCUUUCACACAGUAUCCUUGAAAUUUUUUAUAUGUUUUAUGUUCUAUUUCUCCGAACAUUAAAUUUUCGGUUAACUUUUUAUUUUGUGUUGUUUAGACUUGCAUUAGUAGAAGGAAAAUAUUUUUUGGGAUUUAAAAGGAUUGCUCACAUAGAACAACAAAAGUAAAUUUUUUUGCGGUAAAAAUUUAUUCCUAAUGUAAGUCUAAAGAAUUCAUAAUAAGAAAAGAAACUAAAAACUAAAAUUUACUCUUAAUGUAAGGUCACUGCCUCAAAAAUAAACAAAUUUGACUACCCUACCGAUGCUGGCUUAUAACGAUGGACACCCCCAAGGUUAAUACAACACCUUCGAAUUAUACAUCCCAAACUCAAAGGUUCGAGUUGUCCAAAACUUGUUCUGUAAUACUCCGUAUUUUUGAAGAUAUUUCUUUAUAAAUAAGAAAAUAUAAAGAAUAUAAUUGAAAGGUAUUUUAGUAUAAUUUACAAAGAAAAUAAUAAUAAUACAUUUUAAGUACACUUACAACUUUAAUGUAAUCCUAUUAUCGUUCGGUUUAUUUUAAUUUCGGAAUAAAUAAAUUAAACCGAGUCCUACUAGACCUAGGGUUGCCACACUAUAAAUAGGAGAGAAUAAAAAAAUCAGAAAAAAAAUACAAACCCUAAUUCUCUCUCUCUCAUUCUUCUCUCUCAGCGCUCUCUCUCUCUCAUUCUUCUCUCUCAGCGCUCUCUCUCUGUCCUUCUUCCUCAUCGUUCCCUUGUGUGUGUGUGCGGUUCGCAAUCACUGCUUGUGCGGGCGGUUCGCAGUCGCUGCUGUGCAAACAAGCGAGGGGUUAAGCGAGGCUUUUCGAGCGUUCGCGAGCGAGGGAGUACGAGGGUCCGUGUUCAACUAUUGGGCGAGCGCAAGCGAGGUGCGCGAGGUUGGUGGUGCGUCGAUAUUCGAAAUUGUGCGACGAUUCGAAGGUGCGAGCGAGGGAGUUCGAGGGCUGUGCGAGCGAACGAAUUGUGCGACGAUUCGAAGGUGCGAGUGAGAGAGUUCGAGUGUUGUGCGACGAGUUGUGCGUGGCGGUGCAAAGUAGCGUGCAGUGCGACGAGUUGUGCGAGCCGUGCAAAGUGUGGUGGUGCAAAGCAAGGGGCGAGGCUCGAGAGUUGUGCAUCAUUGGUGGAAGUCGGUCGUCAGAGUUCGAUUGUCGGCGAGAUUAAGUGGUAUAAAAACCUAAUAUGUAUAAUAUGAUAUUAUAUUAGUUUUAAUAUUGUAUAACCUGUUUUUCUAUUAUUAUUAAGUUGUAAGUUAAUUAAUUUGUAAUUUGAGUAAAUUAUUAAUUAAUUAAGUUUGUAUAAUUAGUUUAAGUUAUUAAUCUGAUUUAAGUUGUAAAUAUGAUUUAAGGUUUGUAAAAAUAAGUAAGUUGUGAAGUUAAGAAAGUAGAUUAUGGAUUAUUAGA